AUGGCCUGGUGGUAGAGUCGCUGCCUGACAAGCAGUUAGAUGCAGGUUCAAGUCCCGCU
rnacentral:tRNA from 1 species